rnacentral:rRNA from 1 species
AGAGUUUGAUCAUGGCUCAGAACUAACGCUGGCGGCGUGCCUAAUACAUGCAAGCCGAGCGAGAAAGUCCUUCGGGAUGAGUAAAGUGGCGCACGGGUGAGGAACACGUGAGUAAUCUACCCUAAGAUGGGGAAUAACUCCUCGAAAGAGGAGCUAAUACCGCAUAAGACUACAGUAACUACGGUUACAGGAGUUAAAGAUGACCUCUAUUUAUAAGUUAUCGUCAUAGGAUGAGCUUGCGUAUUAUUAGCUAGUUGGUGAGGUAAUGGCUCACCAAGGCUACGAUAAUUAGCUGGUCUGAGAGGAUGAUCAGCCACACUGGAACUGAGACACGGUCCAGACUCCUACGGGAGGCAGCAGUAGGGAAUAUUGCUCAAUGGGGGAAACCCUGAAGCAGCAACGCCGCGUGAGUGAUGAAGAUUUUCGGAUUGUAAAGCUCUGUUGUACGGGGAAAAUGAUGCUAUGGCUAAUAUCCAUAGUAAGUGAUUGUACCGUAUAAGAAAGGACCGGCUAACUUCGUGCCAGCAGCCGCGGUAAGACGGGGGGUCCUAGCGUUGUUCGGAAUUAUUGGGCGUAAAGCGUGUGCAGGCUGUUUGAUAAGUUGGAUGUGAAAGCCUUGGGCUUAACCCAAGAAGUGCAUUCAAAACUAUCAAACUUGAGUACGGAAGAGGAUUGUGGAAUUCCAAGUGUAGUGGUGAAAUACGUAGAUAUUUGGAGGAACACCGGUUGCGAAGGCGGCAAUCUGGUCUAGUACUGACGCUCAUACACGAAAGCGUGGGGAUCAAACAGGAUUAGAUACCCUAGUAGUCC